rnacentral:rRNA from 1 species
UAGAGUUUGAUCCUGGCUCAGAUUGAACGCUGGCGGCAUGCCUUACACAUGCAAGUCGGACGGCAGCGCGGGCUUCGGCCUGGCGGCGAGUGGCGAACGGGUGAGUAAUACAUCGGAACGUGUCCUGGAGUGGGGGAUAGCCCGGCGAAAGCCGGAUUAAUACCGCAUACGCUCUGCGGAGGAAAGCGGGGGACCUUCGGGCCUCGCGCUCAAGGGGCGGCCGAUGGCAGAUUAGCUAGUUGGUGGGGUAAAGGCCUACCAAGGCGACGAUCUGUAGCUGGUCUGAGAGGACGACCAGCCACACUGGGACUGAGACACGGCCCAGGCUCCUACGGGAGGCAGCAGUGGGGAAUUUUGGACAAUGGGGGCAACCCUGAUCCAGCAAUGCCGCGUGUGUGAAGAAGGCCUUCGGGUUGUAAAGCACUUUUGUCCGGAAAGAAAGCGUCCUGGCUAAUACCCGGGGCGGAUGACGGUACCGGAAGAAUAAGCACCGGCUAACUACGUGCCAGCAGCCGCGGUAAUACGUAGGGUGCGAGCGUUAAUCGGAAUUACUGGGCGUAAAGCGUGCGCAGGCGGUUCGCUAAGACCGAUGUGAAAUCCCCGGGCUUAACCUGGGAACUGCAUUGGUGACUGGCGGGCUAGAGUAUGGCAGAGGGAGGUAGAAUUCCACGUGUAGCAGUGAAAUGCGUAGAGAUGUGGAGGAAUACCGAUGGCGAAGGCAGCCUCCUGGGCCAAUACUGACGCUCAUGCACG